GUCUGACCCCCCCCCCUAGGUGCGUGACGUCAUUUAUGGACGGCCCCCCACUUUGCGCAAGAGCGCAGAAGCGUGGUCACCACAUCUACCACGCCUCCAUAUAAGGAACGAAACAGGUCGCCUUCAGCCAAGUCUCUGGAUCCUUUAUUCAAGCUUUUCAUUGUUCGUGGAAAGAAAAGGUGGCAGCCAUCUCAAGCCAGAGGACGAGAGGACUGUAGCCGCCACGCAUAUAAAGGAUUUGUAGUGAAAAACUUUGUUUUUACUGGUUAUACUUGUUU